rnacentral:snRNA from 1 species
GUGCUCACUUCAGCAGCACAUAUACUAAAAUUGGAAUGGUACAGAAAAGAUUAGCAUGGCCUCUGUGCCAGGAUGCCAUGCAAAUUCAUGAAGCACUCCAUAUUUCU